rnacentral:rRNA from 1 species
UACGUAGGGUGCAAGCGUUGUCCGGAAUCAUUGGGCGGAAAGAGCGUGUAGGCGGCCAGAAAAGUCCGCUGUGAAAACUCGAGGCUCAACUUCGAGCUGUCGGUGGAAACUUUCUGGCUAGAGUCCGGAAGAGGAGAAUGGAAUUCCUGGUGUAGCGGUGAAAUGCGCAGAUAUCAGGAAGAACACCCGUGGCGAAGGCGGUUCUCUGGGACGGUACUGACGCUGAGACGCGAAAGCGUGGGGAGCGAACAGG